AUACGGAGGGUCCGAGCGUUAUCCGGAUUUAUUGGGUUUAAAGGGUGCGUAGGCGGUUUUAUAAGUCAGCGGUGAAAUUUUCCGGCUCAACCGGGAUACUGCCGUUGAUACUGUAAGGCUAGGAUAUGGUUGCUGUGGGUGGAAUGUGUGGUGUAGCGGUGAAAUGCGUAGAGAUGUGGAGGAACACCGAUGGCGAAGGCAGCCCCCUGGGCCGAUACUGACGCUCAUGCACGAAAGCGUGGGUAGC
rnacentral:rRNA from 1 species